UACGUAGGGGGCAAGCGUUGUCCGGAAUCAUUGGGCGUAAAGCGCGCGUAGGCGGCCCGGUAAGUCCGCUCUGAAAGUCCAGGGCUCAACCCUGGAAAGCGGGUGGAUACUGCCGGGCUAGAAUCCGGAAGAGGCGAGUGGAAUUCCUGGUGUAGCGGUGGAAUGCGUAGAGAUCAGGAAGAACACCAGUGGCGAAGGCGCUCUGCUAGGCCGUAACUGACACUGAGGGACGAAAGCUAGGGGAGCGAAUGGG
rnacentral:rRNA from 1 species